GGAGGAGUAGCGAAGUGGCUAAACGCGACGGACUGUAAAUCCGUUCCUUAGGGUUCAGUGGUUCGAAUCCACUCUCCACCA
rnacentral:tRNA from 1 species